AGCGAACGCUGGCGGCAGGCCUAACACAUGCAAGUCGAACGGAUCCUUCGGGAUUAGUGGCGGACGGGUGAGUAACACGUGGGAACGUGCCCUUUGGUUCGGAACAACUCAGGGAAACUUGAGCUAAUACCGGAUGUGCCCUUCGGGGGAAAGAUUUAUCGCCAUUGGAGCGGCGCGCGUCUGAUUAGCUAGUUGGUGAGGUAACGGCCCACCAAGGCGACGAUCAGUAGCUGGUCUGAUAGGAUGAUCAGGCACACUGGGACUGAGACACGGCCCAGACCCCGACGGGAGGCAGCAGUAGGGAAUCUUGCGCAAUGGGCGAAAGCCUAACGCAGCCAUGCCGCGUGAAUGAGGAAGGUCGUAGUAUUGUAAAAUUCUUUCAGCGGAGACGAUAAUGACGGUACCCGCAGAAGAAGCACCGGCUAACUUCGUG
rnacentral:rRNA from 1 species